rnacentral:rRNA from 1 species
GACGAACGCUGGCGGCGUGCUUAACACAUGCAAGUCGAACGAUGAAGUUCCUUCGGGAAUGGAUUAGUGGCGAACGGGUGAGGAACACGUGAGAAACCUGCCUUUCAUUUUGGGAUAACUCCGGGAAACCGGGGCUAACACCGAAUACUCCGUCUCGGCGGCAUCGCUGAGCCGGGAAAAAUUUUGAUGAAAGAUGGUCUCGCGGCCUAUCAGCUAGUUGGUGAGGUAAUGGCUCACCAAGGCAACGACGGGUAGCCGGCCUGAGAGGGCGACCGGCCACACUGGGACUGAGAAACGGCCCAGACUCCUACGGGAAGCAGCAGUGGGGAAUAUUGGGCAAUGGGCGCAAGCCUGACCCAGCGACGCCGCGUGAGGGAUGAAGGCCUUCGGGUUGUAAACCUCUUUCAGUAGGGAAGAAGCGAAAGUGACGGUACCUAAAGAAGAAGCACCGGCUAACUAUGUGCCAGCCGCCGCCGUAA